CAGUAGUCACGAGUUUGAUCAUGGCUCAGAACGAACGCUGGCGGCAUGCCUAACACGUGCAAGUCGAACGAGACCUUCGGGUCUAGUGGCGCACGGGUGCGUAACGCGUGGGAACCUGCCUUUAGGUUCGGAAUAACUCAGAGAAAUUUGUGCUAAUACCGUAUGAUGUCGAAAGACCAAAGAUUUAUCGCCUAAGGAUGAGCCCGCGUAAGAUUAGCUUGUUGGUGAGGUAAAAGCUCACCAAGGCGACGAUCUUUAGCUGGUCUGAGAGGAUGAUCAGCCACACUGGGACUGAGACACGGCCCAGACUCCUACGGGAGGCAGCAGUGGGGAAUAUUGGACAAUGGGCGAAAGCCUGAUCCAGCAAUGCCGCGUGAGUGAUGAAGGCCUUAGGGUUGUAAAGCUCUUUUACCAGGGAUGAUAAUGACAGUACCUGGAGAAUAAGCUCCGGCUAACUCCGUG
rnacentral:rRNA from 1 species